GAAAAAUAAUUUUUCGUGGCGUACGGGUGAGUAAUACACAGGAAUCUGCCUUUUAGUUCAGGAUAAAAUUCUGAAUAACAAAAGAAAACUUUUCGCUAAAAGAUGAGCCUGUGUAGGAUUAGGUAGUUGGUAUUUGGGUAAAGGCCUACCAAGCCUAUGAUCCUUAGCUGUUCUGAGAGGUUGUACAGCCACACUGGGACUGAGACAAGGCCCAGGCUUCAUUUGGAGCCAGCAGUGAGGAAUUUUGGACAAUGAGCGAAAGCUUGAUCCAGCAAUACUACAUGAGUGAUGAAGGCUUUCAAGUUGUAAAACUCUUUGGUUGAGGAGGAUAAUGACAGUACUCAACAAAAUAGCCCCGGCUAACUUCGUGCCAGCAGCCGCGGUAAUACGAAGGGGGCGAGCGUUAUCCGGAAUGACUGGGCGUAAAGGGUCCGUAGGCAGCAUUUUUUGUUAGAGGUUAAAUAAAAAAGCUUAACUUUUUUCCGCUUCUAAAACGUAAAUGCUUUGAGUUUGAUAGGAGAUAGCACAAUUUCACAUGGAGGGGUGAUAUCCGUAGAUAUGUGAAGGAAUACCAGAGGCGAAGGCGGCUAUCUAGAUCAAUACUGACGUUGAGGGACCAAAGCAUGGGCGAGCAAACAGGAUUAGAUACCCUGGUAGUCCAUGCCCUAAAAGAUGAGUGCUCCGUGCUUAGAUAUUUUUAGGCACUUUAGUUAACACCGUUAAGCACCUCCGCCCUGGGGAGUACGACCCGCAAGGUUUGGAA
rnacentral:rRNA from 1 species